GAUGAACGCUAGCGGGAGGCCUAACACAUGCAAGCCGAGGGAGAAGCUUUCUUCGGAAAGUAGACACCGGCGAACGGGUGCGUAACGCGUAUGCAACUUGCCUUUUUCUGGGAAAUAGCCCGAGGAAACUCGGAUUAAUGUCCCAUAAUAUUCAUCUAGGCAUCUAGGCGAGUUGAAAGAUUUAUCGGAAAAAGAUAGGCAUGCGUCAAAUUAGUUUGUUGGUGAGGUAAUAGCUCACCAAGACUAUGAUUUGUAGGGGGCCUGAGAGGGUAAUCCCCCACACUGGUACUGAGACACGGACCAGACUCCUACGGGAGGCAGCAGUGAGGAAUAUUGGACAAUGGGUGAAAGCCUGAUCCAGCCAUCCCGCGUGCAGGAAGACGGCCUUAUGGGUUGUAAACUGCUUUUUUACAGGAAUAAACCCCUUCACGUGUGAAGGUCUGAAUGUACUGUAAGAAUAAGCACCGGCUAACUCCG
rnacentral:rRNA from 1 species